AAAUCGCUUAUAAUUUCCAAAAGAAACAAUGCACAUUUUAAAAUUUUUGGUCUUCUAAACACGCAGUGUUUAAAACGUGAUAAUCCUGCUCCUCUACGCUGUCAUAUAAAUUAAUUUUGUUUACUUAUCUGCACCUGUUUACUCAGUGGGCAUUUUUUGCUAAUUUUUUUUUUUAGUAUAGAAAUAAAAAACUUUAUUAAUAUCAUCAUUACAUUGAAAUAAAUUUUGUACGACUAUUAUUUUUUUUAAUAAGAUUAUAGAUAUAAUAAAAUAGAUUGAGAACUUUUCGAAAAUGAAAAUGGCAAUUAUACUAAAUAUUCAAGUGUACUUAUGUAUGUUUUUCGCUGUUUUAGAUAUUGAAGGAUUACAUAAUAAAAAAGAAAAAGCGGCUAUCAUAAAUGAUUUUUUACGUCAACCAGGAUGGAAAAAUAUAAAUGAUGUGGAAUUUAUUAAUUAUUGGAGACAAAAAUAUGAACCGAGAGAUUUAUUUAUUGAACGUGUAACAUUAUAUAAUUGCGAUAAUUACAUACGGCAAGCAACGAUAUUUCUUGGAUGUUCUUACUAUCAUGAUUUAAAAUUAAUAUUUUUAUCAUUAAUUAAAUUACAAGAACAUUGUUUACAUCUAUUAAAUUCUUGCGAUGAUAGUGCGCACAAUUGUACAGUCACACUUUUAACAAAAAUGUUUGAAAUUAUUCCGAUGGCAAAAUUUAUGAAAGGAGCGUUAUAUGCAAUAGAAAAAUAUCAUAAUAGUCCCUUGAACACCCUAACAAGAACCCGUUUUAUUUUAAGCAGUUUACUAACAAAUAUACAGGAAGAUGAAAGUUUAUUGACUACAUUGAGAAUCAGUUCGGAUUCAACUAGAGAUGUAUUAGAAACAAUCGCGAAAAUAUUAUUCGCAAGACGUCUUGAACUUGAUGAAGAAAAGUUAUUUUGUCAACUAAAAUAUUUAGAUUUUAAUUCAUUGUGCAAUAUAUGGAAUAUGGAAUUUAAUGACUUAAGAUAUCGAGGAAAAUACCAAGAAUUUUUCAUUUUUCUUAGUGAUAAAAUAAAAAAUUUAAUCCUAACGACAAUCAGAAAAAAGUAUAUUGAACUUGGAUUUAAAUAUGAUUCGUCCACAAGUGAGACAUUUUUACUUGGUUUACCACCUACUAAUGUCAAAGAAGAUAUCGCACAAAAAUUUACAAUAAAUUUUGUACAAAAUACCAAUGAAGUAAAUGCGCAAGAAGAAAAUCAGCAACAUGAUCUUACAAAAUAUCCUUCGAUACUACAUACCAAUGAUGUAGAGAAUAAAGAAGGCAUUCAACAAGAAAGUAUUACAAAAUAUCCUUCUUUACUACAUACGAAUGUUGUAGAGAUAAAAGAAGACAUUAAACAAGAAAGAAUCAAUAUAACUACAAAAUUUACUCAGCGAUAUGUACGAAAGACAAAAUAAUUUAAAAUUAUAUUCUAUACAUUAUUAUCAUAAAACGCUUUAAUUCUAUGAACUGGUUGUAGACAAUAAAAUAAGUAUAAAUGUCGAAUGUGAAUUGAAAGAUGAUUCAGUCAUACUAAUUGAAUAUCCUAAGGGUAUGGCACCAUUUAAUAAGUACAUUUAAUAUCUCAAAUCCUUAAACAAUUUAUAA